UACGAGGGGGGCAAGCGUUGUUCGGAAUUAUUGGGCGUAAAGGGCGCGUAGGCGGUUUGACAAGUCUGAUGUGAAAUCUCUGGGCUCAACCCAGAGUCUGCAUUAGAAACUGUCGGGCUUGAGUAUGGGAGAGGUGAGUGGAAUUUCCGGUGUAGCGGUGAAAUGCGUAGAUAUCGGAAGGAACACCUGUGGCGAAAGCGGCUCACUGGACCAUAACUGACGCUGAGGCGCGAAAGCUAGGGGACCAAACAGG
rnacentral:rRNA from 1 species